CCUACGGGAGGCAGCAGUGAGGAAUAUUGGUCAAUGGGCGAGAGCCUGAACCAGCCAAGUCGCGUGAAGGAUGAAGGAUCUAUGGUUUGUAAACUUCUUUUAUAGGGGAGUAAAGUGAGGAACGUGUUCCUUUUUGUAUGUACCAUAUGAAUAAGCAUCGGCUAACUCCGUGCCAGCAGCCGCGGUAAUACGGAGGAUGCGAGCGUUAUCCGGAUUUAUUGGGUUUAAAGGGUGCGUAGGUGGUUAAUUAAGUCAGCGGUGAAAGGUUGUGGCUCAACCAUAAAAUUGCCGUUGAAACUGGUUGACUUGAGUAUAUUUGAGGUAGGCGGAAUGCGUGGUGUAGCGGUGAAAUGCAUAGAUAUCACGAAGAACUCCGAUUGCGAAGGCAGCUUACUACACUAUAACUGACACUGAAGCACGAAAGCGUGGGGAUCAAACAGGAUUAGAUACCGGUGUAGUC
rnacentral:rRNA from 1 species